rnacentral:misc_RNA from 1 species
GAUGAAGGACGUAGCGAAAUGCGAUAAGUAAUGUGAAUUGCAGAAUUCAGUGAAUCAUCGAAUCUUUGAACGCACAUUGCGCCCGCCAGUAUUCUGGCGGGCAUGCCUGUUCGAGCGUCAUUACAACCCUCAGGCCCCCGGGCCUGGCGUUGGGGAUCGGCAGAAGCCCCCUGUGGGCACACGCCGUCCCUCAAAUACAGUGGCGGUCCCGCCGCAGCUUCCAUUGCGUAGUAGCUAACACCUCGCAACUGGAGAGCGGCGCGGCCAUGCCGUAAAACACCCAACUUCUGAUGUUGACCUCGAAUCAGGUAGGAAUACCCGCUGAACUUAAGCAUAUCAAUAAGCGGAGGA